AAAAUUAUUCAGUUUAAUAGAUGUGAAGCAGUCACAAACACAUAUUCAGAUAAAGUUAAUGCAUGAAAAUGUCUGUUGUGUAUUAUUUAAUAGUUUACUUUUAGUAUAGCUUUGAUUUAUUUUAGUUGUUUUUAUUUUAGUUCCAGUUUUCCUUUUUUUGUUAGUUGAAUGAGUUAUUUACGAUAGGUUUUCUCAAAAGAUUAUGCUAUUAUUUUCUCUUUUUUUUAUUUAGACAUUCUAGUAUAUUUAAUGAGAAUAUACUAUUUUAUUUACUAGAUUUUUGACUUAAAUUGAAAAUUUUUUUUUUUACAGUUUAUGCUUUAAUCUUGAAACAAUUUGUAUUGAAGUUUAAUUUAGUUACAUUUUUGAAAACUGUUUGAAUUAACUAUGUGCAAUACACCUCAAAAAUGGUAUUUUAACUAGUCCUCUAAUGUUCAUAAUGGUAGUUUUUCAUGCUAUAAACGAGCUGAUGAUGUAUGCUACAAAAAGAGUGCUUGAUUUUCAUAAAAAACAAAAAUGUAAUAAAAUAGCUUCUUGAGGAUCCUAUAGAUGGUGAGACUGUUCAAAUCAUUUUUUAUUUAUUAUAUAUAGUAGUAUAAAAUAAGAAAAUAUUUUUUU